CUGGUGCCUGUCUUUCUGCGUAGCUUUUUCUUCACGUGUCCAAUACUUGCUUCCCAUAUCAUUAUUAUUACACAUAAUUUAUGGAUAAUUAAUUAUUGGAUUUUUCUAAAUGUAUGGACUGGAUGGCUUGUUACUAUGGUCUCACGUUUACACCCGAUGGUCUCACGUUAGCGUGAUGGUGAGCUGGAAAGCAUUCCCAAAUCAUGACUCCUUCACCUCCAUGCUUCACAGCUGCAGAGGUUUAAGGACGCAGCGUGACCUCGGUAAACUUCAGAGAUGAGGACGAUGCCUACGACAGCGCAGAUAAGAGGACAGAUGGUCAACACAGAAGGGCUGCGUUUGGUACCUGGAGGAGGACGUUGGCUCAGUCGUCUGCCUCUGGAUCUUCGUCGGCUGUUUGCUGAUCUUCUCCCUUAGGGCUAUUUGCACCUCUGCAGGGAUGUCUGGCGACGUCUGACUGAUCUUC